rnacentral:rRNA from 1 species
GACGAAGGGGGCUAGCGUUGUUCGGAAUUACUGGGCGUAAAGCGCGUGUAGGCGGUUGUUCAAGUCAGGUGUGAAAGCCUUGAGCUCAACUCAAGAAAUGCACUUGAUACUGGAUGACUAGAGGACCGGAGAGGAUAGUGGAAUUCCCAGUGUAGUGGUGAAAUACGUAGAGAUUGGGAAGAACACCAGUGGCGAAGGCGGCUAUCUGGACGGUACUGACGCUGAGACGCGAAAGCGUGGGGAGCGAACAGG